rnacentral:rRNA from 1 species
AGGCGGGUGGAUUAGGCUGCAAGUCGAACGGGCUGGCUUCGGCCAGUCAGUGGCGGAAGGGUGAGUAAGGCGACGGUAACCAACCCCAUGGUCGGGUAUAGCCGCGGGAAACUGCGGGUAAUCCCCAGCGACGUGCGGGGCCGGCAUCGGCUCUGCACCAAAGCUCCGGCGCCGUGGGACGGGCCGUCGUGGUAUUAGCUAGUUGGCGGGGUGAUGGCCCACCAAGGCUGUGAUGCCUACCGGGCGUGCGAGCGUGGCCCGGCACACUGGGACUGAGACACUGCCCAGACUCCUACGGGAGGCUGCAGUCGAGAAUCUUCGGCAAUGGGCGCAAGCCUGACCGAGCGACGCCGCGUGGAGGAUGAAGGCCUUCGGGUUGUAAACCGCUGUCAGUGGGGAGGAAGUGCACGGGGGUACUCCCCUGUGUUUGACCGAUCCGCAGAGGAAGCACAGGCUAAGUUCGUGCCAGCAGCCGCGGUAACACGAACUGUGCAAACGUUAUUCGGAAUUACUGGGCUUAAAGAGUUCGUAGGCGGCUUGUUAAGUCGGGUGUGAAAUCCCUCGUCUCAACCGAGGAAUUGCGCUCGAAACUGGCGAGCUUGAGUGAGAUAGAGGUGAGCGGAACUGAUGGUGGAGCGGUGAAAUGCGUUGAUAUCAUCAGGAACACCGGUUGCGAAGGCGGCUCACUGGGUCUUGACUGACGCUGAGGAACGAAAGCUAGGGGAGCGAACGGGAUUAGAUACCCCGGUAGUCCUAGCUGUAAACGAUGAGCACUGGAC